rnacentral:ncRNA from 1 species
AUUAUAUAAUUAGGAAGCUAGUUAUUGUCAGAAUGAACUUCUGGCAAAAAUAAACCAAAAAAUUGCGGGAAGUCCCUAAAGCAGUUUCAACCAAACAUAUGUGGUAACACAGUAUGUGGCACAGGAAAUGACUCGUGGUAUGGUAAAAUCGAAAUUUAUUAUUUAGCGCCUCCUAAUCCUUUAGGGAUAGGACAGAUAAAUAAGAGGGUAAUCUGCAGCCAAGUGCCAAAAAAAAAUCAUAAUAUGUAUUUUGGUAUGCAGUUCAUCGACUAAAUGUUGGUUGGCUUUUUUGCUAAAGAGCUUAAGAUAUAGUCAAGCCCCGUUCGAAAGAAUGCA